ACCAAAUUGGACGAGUGAGGUAAUCCGACUCCGCCAUCACAGCAGGCAGGACCCUCUCAGGGUCACGCAGCGUGGGACUACUUCCAGUAGUUGACUGGAACGAGCCGCAGUGCCGUGUCUUGUGCUCCUGUUUUCACGAGCUUCAGCACUUGAGCCUUCUCAGGGCCUCUGUGCUAUGUAAAAUCGUUAAACUUCCUUCCCACUUUUAUUUUCUUUGAAUUCUGUUAGAUGCUCUGUUAUUGCCCAGUUAGAAUUUUGGUAUUUUGAGGCCGGAGGCCACAGUUUGUAAACGCUAUGUAUUGUGUAAUGCAUGCUGGCUGUUGGGUUAUAAAUAUCUGUGUUUUUGACAGGUUGAAA